UGCAUGUUUUUGAAACACCUAUGCCUAAGGGGCUAAAUGAAGGUUAUGGGUCUUCAGGUAGGCUUGUCUUUUCAACUGUUUAUUCCUUUCCAAGCCUUUCAGCUCUCUUUGUUAAAAAGCAGCAGGUUCAGGAAAAUAAAUCCUAUGAUGCUACUGUAAAACCACCUCUGACUGGGCGGAUCCAAAGGGGGUGAUAACAAGUCGGAGAGGAUCUGAACCAGAAAAGUUGCCUCAUUCUACAGAAAGACGUAAAAGGAUUGAUAGCCAGUUUGGAAGAGCAAGAGCAUGUUAGAUCAUAAAAAUGAAACUGGUGAAAUUGAUCUCGUCAGCAAGAAAAACAAGAGUCUCCAACCUGUACUACUAUGGGAAGAUGGAACUUGACUGAAAUUUCCCAUUUCAAACCCAAAUUUAAAAGUAAAGAAAAAAAUGAAUGCAUGCUAUUCAUAUUUUAGGUUCUUAGCCACAGAAGAGUAUUUUUAAAAUAGGAAUAUUCUCAUAACACAACAACAUACUUAAAUUAAAUUAAACACUGACUUAAGGUAAUUAUCCAUUUUGAGAUAAUAAGCUACAGGGCUAACGUUGUGCAGUUGGCCUAGAUCUCUCUGCUGUGAUCACUUGGCUCUCAAUACGGAAAACGAGAGAGAUUCCAGAAGACUGGAAAAGGGCAAAUACAGUGCCAAUCUGCAGAAAGGGAAAUAACGACAAUCCAGGGAGUUACAGACCAGUCAGCUUAACUUCUGUACCCGGAAUGAUAAUGGAGCAAACAAUUAAGCAAUCAAUUUGCAAACAUCUAAAAGAUAAUAAGCUGAUAAGUAACAGCUUAUUCAGGCCACUCAAACUAAUGUUGGGGGGCUGGCACAGCUGAAUUAGCACUUGGGUAGGACAAUGACAGGUUAAAGCCAUCUCUGCAACUCCUUUCCUCCAAGUUCUUCUGUAUUCUCCUAUGCCUCGGCAGAGGAUUUUGUACAAUGGGGUUAUCAUUUUUCAGUCUAGUAUGCAUUUUCUGAGCAAAUGUGAUUCCCAGACAUGACUCUAAGUCAACUCAAAUGUCUACAGUAAGGAUAUCUUAAUAUACUGAAAGACGGGAUUAAUGCUUGAAAUUGAACAUUGACAAUUAGGAAAUGUUUGCUUAAUGUGAUUUUAUAGCCUAAAUGCAGAGGUUCUCAACCUUUUUAUUUCUGACCCCCCCUCCCAUGCUAUAAAAGCUCUACAGCUCA